rnacentral:lncRNA from 7 species
AUGCCUAGCUUUCCUACUUGCUUGCUCUGUAUUUACAUGCAUUGCUUUUUACUUGUUAUUCUCUUUUUUCCCGUUUCAUUAUUUUCCCUUCAACCCUCCCCCUUCCCUCACCCUACCUCCAAUUUUUUCCUUCCUACCCUCUCUCCUCUCCCCCCCCAUCCACCCACGCCCCCACUUACUCACCCCCCUCACUUCUCCCCCCUCUCCACCCUUCCUCCCUCCCCCCUCUUGCACCCCUCACCCCCUCUAGCCCCACCGCUUUCCCACUGCUCCUCCCCCUCUCCCCCACUCCUUCCCUCCCCUCCCCUCCCCUCUCUUUUGCCCCCAUCCACUACCAUUCCCCCUUGCUUUAAGGGAAACUUACCUUUCCUGCUCUUCACUGACUUCUUUUGGCUUUGGCUGCUAUUUUGCCUUGCUUUGCUUUGCUGUGCUAUGCAUUGCUUUCCCUGUAUUUCUUGCCAUCCACUCCUUCCUUCGAGUUAUUCUUUACUUUUUGACUUGGCUUUUUUUCUUUUCUCUUUACCUUUCUUCUCUUGUCAUUAUCCGUUUUCCUUUCUUUUUUUCUUUUUUCUAUCUUUUAUUUCUAUUUCUUUUUUCUUUUUUUCUUUUUUUUCUUUUUUUUUUUUCAUAUUUUUCUUCUCUUUUUUCUAUUUUCUCUUUUUUCUUUCUCUUUUUCUUUUUUUUAGCUUUUUCUUUUUCUCUUUUUGUUCAUUUUUUUCUUUUCUCUUUUUUCUCUUUUUUGUUCAUUUUUUUUCUUUUCUCUUUUUUCUCUUUUUUUCAUUUUUUUCUUUUCUCUUUUUUCUUUUUUUUGUUCAUUUUUUUCUUUCUCUUUUUUGUCUUUUUUGUUCAUUUUUUUCUUUUCUUUUUUCUCUUUUUCUUAUUUUUCUUUUCUUUUUUCUCUUAUUUCAUAUUUUUUGUCUUAUUUUUUCUUUUCUUUUUUCAUCAUUGGUUUGCCUUCAGCCCUCCCCUCAGCCCUUCCCUCCGCUCUGCUCUUCACCCAUCCCCUCCCCAUCCCCUCUUUCUCCCUUACCCCCCCUUUCCCCUUGCCUUGCCUCCCAUUACCUUGCCUGCCCUUCACUUACCUUCUCCUCACUUCCUGCUUCUUGAUGCUAUGGGCUUUUGCUGCUACUCACGCCAAACCUCAGCACUUGCCUACUCUGCUUGCUGCUCUGCCAAGUUGCUCUCUACUCUGCUCACAGCUUCACGCCUACUGCCUGCCCUUCUCUGUCCCCUUCUCGUGCCCUUCAGGCUUUUCCUCCCCUUGCUGAGCAAGGCCAUGCCCGGUAGCUACCCUUGAACCUCCUCCGCCCUUUGCCUUCCUCCACAGAGAUGCUUGCUUCUGGCCAGCACUCCUGCCCGGUGCCUAGCCCACACACCUCAUCUCUUGGGGAGAUAGCAAGGUGGCCUGUAGCUACCCACACCUCCUCCCGGGCAUGGCUUCUCAGCUUUGCUUCAAGCCCAGAACCCAAAGGAGCUCCUCUUACCUUUUGGCCCACAUUCUUCUCCUCCCGCGCAGCUCCUGUGGCAAGCAGGGGCACAGCUCUGGCCAGAUUCCUCCAUUCCUGCAAGGUUGCUUUUUGUCAUUCUUUGCCGCCUUUUGCUUUGCUCUCUUUUGCUGUGCUAUGCCUAGCUUUCCUACUUGCUUGCUCUGUAUUUACAUGCAUUGCUUUUUACUUGUUAUUCUCUUUUUUCCUCUGUUUCAUUAUUUUCCCUUCAACCCUCCCCUUCCCUCACCCUACCUCCAAUUUUUCC